rnacentral:tRNA from 3 species
GGCCUGGUGGCUCAGCUGGUUAGAGCGCCGCCCUGUCACGGCGGAGGUCGUGGGUUCGAUCCCCAUCCGGGUCG